rnacentral:rRNA from 1 species
GAUGAACGCUGGCGGCGUGCUUAACACAUGCAAGUCGAACGAAGCACUGUUGAUAGAUUCUUCGGAUGAUAGAUACAGUGACUGAGUGGCGGACGGGUGAGUAACGCGUGGGUAACCUGCCUCAUACAGGGGGAUAACAGUUAGAAAUGACUGCUAAUACCGCAUAAGCGCACAGGACCGCAUGGUCUGGUGUGAAAAACUCCGGUGGUAUGAGAUGGACCCGCGUCUGAUUAGCUAGUUGGUGGGUAACGGCCCACCAAGGCGACGAUCAGUAGCCGACCUGAGAGGGUGACCGGCCACAUUGGGACUGAGACACGGCCCAAACUCCUACGGGAGGCAGCAGUGGGAAUAUUGCACAAUGGGCGAAAGCCUGAUGCAGCGACGCCGCGU